UACGUAGGGUGCGAGCGUUGUCCGGAAUUAUUGGGCGUAAAGGGCUCGUAGGCGGUUUGUCGCGUCGGGAGUGAAAACACACAGCUUAACUGUGUGCUUGCUUCCGAUACGGGCAGACUAGAGGUAUGCAGGGGAGAACGGAAUUCCUGGUGUAGCGGUGAAAUGCGCAGAUAUCAGGAGGAACACCGGUGGCGAAGGCGGAUCUCUGGGCCUUACCUGACGCUCAGGUGCGAAAGCGUGGGGAGCAAACGGG
rnacentral:rRNA from 1 species